rnacentral:rRNA from 1 species
CCGGUCCCAACGACUGGUACCUCGACACCGGGGCCUCCGCACACGUCACCGGUAACGCAGGACCUGGCAACGCGGACCCCCCUAAUGAGGCGCAAUAGCUCCGGCCCGCUCUACCGGUGCAGUGGCCCAAAUCCUUCGGCGUUCUUCCUCGACACCGGCGAGAUUUGGCAUCGCCGUUUGGGGCACCCCGGGCGUGGCUCCCUUUCCCGUUUAGCGCACCAAUUUCUUCCAGAUUGUAAUAAACUUCCUUCCCCCUCUCAUUCAUGUGAGGCAUGCCAACUAGGGAAGCACGCACGGUUGCCUUUUUUAGCUUCUAGCACUGUUACAACUUUUCCGUUUCAAAUAAUUCACUGUGACCUAUGGACCUCGCCGGUGGCUAGUUGUUCCGGCUAUAAAUAUUACUUGAUCAUAAUGGAUGAUUUUUCUCAUUAUAGA